GACGAACGCUGGCGGCGUGCCUAAUACAUGCAAGUAGAACGCUGAAGAGAGGAGCUUGCUCUUCUUGGAUGAGUUGCGAACGGGUGAGUAACGCGUAGGUAACCUGCCUGGUAGCGGGGGAUAACUAUUGGAAACGAUAGCUAAUACCGCAUAAAAUGGAUUAUCGCAUGAUAAUCCAUUGAAAGGUGCAAAUGCAUCACUACCAGAUGGACCUGCGUUGUAUUAGCUAGUUGGUGGGGUAACGGCUCACCAAGGCGACGAUACAUAGCCGACCUGAGAGGGUGAUCGGCCACACUGGGACUGAGACACGGCCCAGACUCCUACGGGAGGCAGCAGUAGGGCAUCUUCGGCAAUGGACGGAAGUCUGACCGAGCAACGCCGCGUGAGUGAAGAAGGUUUUCGGAUCGUAAAGCUCUGUUGUAAGAGAAGAACGAGUGUGAGAGUGGAAAGUUCACACUGUGACGGUAUCUUACCAGAAAGGGACGGCUAACUACGUG
rnacentral:rRNA from 1 species